AAAGAAGAAUUUCCAGGAACUGGAAAUAUGUAAUGUCAUAAUCCAUGCCUGUCGUCGAACACACACCAAGGUGCUGGAAAAAGUAAUUGAGGACUUCAUAUCAGAAACACUGAAGUUUGCACCACACAGAGAUAAGAUGCUACAAUCUAAGGUGCCACUUCAGCCCGAAGCAGAGACUUGUGGAAAAGAAUACACACAGAACACACUUAAUUAGUUGUUUUACACACAGAAUGUAUUUUGUUAUGUAAGAUUUGGAAUGUUUCAGUUUGUGGAAUGUUUGAGUAUAUAAAAAUGUGAAAGUAAAGUAAGAUAUCAGUUAUGCUAUUGUUUUCAUUUAGAUGUACUGUAUGUUACAGUGUACGUAUCCUUGGCAAAAGGUAGACAAAU
rnacentral:lncRNA from 1 species